rnacentral:rRNA from 1 species
UUNUGAACUGGGUGACUAGAGUGUGUCAGAGGGAGGUAGAAUUCCACGUGUAGCAGUGAAAUGCGUAGAGAUGUGGAGGAAUACCGAUGGCGAAGGCAGCCUCCUGGGAUAACACUGACGUUCAUGCUCGAAAGCGUGGGUAGCAAACAGGAUUAGAUACCCUGGUAGUCCACGCCCUAAACGAUGUCAAUUAGCUGUUGGGCAACUUGAUUGCUUAGUAGCGUAGCUAACGCGUGAAAUUGACCGCCUGGGGAGUACGGUCGCAAGAUUAAAACUCAAAGGAAUUGACGGGGACCCGCACAAGCGGUGGAUGAUGUGGAUUAAUUCGAUGCAACGCGAAGAACCUUACCUGGUCUUGACAUGUACGGAAUCCUCCAGAGACGGAGGAGUGCCUUCGGGAGCCGUAACACAGGUGCUGCAUGGCUGUCGUCAGCUCGUGUCGUGAGAUGUUGGGUUAAGUCCCGCAACGAGCGCAACCCUUGUCAUUAGUUGCCAUCAUUUAGUUGGGCACUCUAAUGAGACUGCCGGUGACAAGCCGGAGGAAGGUGGGGAUGACGUCAAGUCCUCAUGGCCCUUAUGACCAGGGCUUCACACGUCAUACAAUGGUCGGUACAGAGGGUAGCCAAGCCGCGAGGUGGAGCCAAUCUCACAAAACCGAUCGUAGU